rnacentral:lncRNA from 1 species
GUCCAUGUCCCUGGAGGACGGAACGUGAGCUCCCAGGACUGGCCUCCGUGAUGCAAAUUUACGCAAGCUGGGUCUUUUUGUAAAACCUCUGCCUGCAGUGGUUGCCGGCUGUGUGCGUACAACCCUACAACCCGUGCCUGCCUAAAUCGUGUCACUGCAGGCUCCUGGUUCGACACCCGGGCUACUGAUGCCCAGAGAAGGGAGGUGACUGGGAGCCUAGUCAUGGCACAUCAUGAGGGCGCCCGAGGACUCCUGACCCCCUGGCGAGGGGGCCCUCUGUGAUGGCAUGUCACAGCCCUGGGCGCUCGGGGAUCUCCUCUCCCCUCACGCCGGUGGGAGAGGAAGGGAUCCCAAACGGCACCCUGUCCACCUCCGACGCCAACCGUCCCCUGGUGCAGAGGAAACCAGCUUUCUGCUGGUCGGAGGAGCGUUUCAGAAGAGGAAGCAAAAACCGAGCUGGAAGGAGAAACAUGGAAACAGAAAAAUCCUUUUCCCCAUAAAGCACAUCCGGUUAUUGAGACAGCGGUGUCUACAGAGCGAUGCAGCCCGAGCAAGUGACCUCGAUACAGCAUCAACGUGUGUGCCUUCUUCUGUGGGAUUCCUUAUAGACCAGCCUGGUUCUUCAGUGUUUCCAUGGAAACCGCUGGUGACAAAACUAUGGUGAUGGGAAAGAUCACCUGGGAAAAUGUGUGAGGAGAUCACCUAGGGAGCUCUCGCUCCUAAGGAUGAGCAGGGGGAAAGGAUUCCAAGAAGGAGGGAAACCGUGCAAUAGCAGAGAGAGAGGCAAGUUCAAGGAUGUGGAGACAGGAAGGCGGGUUUCAGAACAAAGAGACGGACUAGCAGCGUUUAAUUUUGCAGAGAAAAACGAGUGAAGAUAACGACAGGAUUUUUUUGCGGUUGUAUUUUGCAACGAAGAAAUCAUUGAGACCUUAGCCAGACGGAGAGACACUUGCCGUAAACAAUUCUGGGCUUGAAGACAGGUUGUAAGAGGUUUUAGGAUGCAGCCUUCCUCACUUUUUCGCUUUUGGAAGUGUGACGAUGGAGUCUGACGUUGAAGUCAUUUUGUCCGGACGCGUGAGUGAGGACGCUGCACAUCCAGAUUUUUCCUCCCCUGGUGGGGAGGGGGCGAUGCUGUUCCCUGAUUCUUAUUUGGUUGUUUGUUCUUGUUUGGUUGUUUGUCCAGACCUCUGGACAAAAUUAUACAAAACCUCUCAAAAUUAUACGAAAUCUCUCAAAGUUGCUGAAGCGGAGGCUGGCGUCGCAAUGCAUCUGGCCCCGCGUCUCCGUGUGCAAGACACCUCAUGUCUAUACGUCCAUCAGCUCCUUCCCUGACCUCAUCUAAGACACUGCCAUUAAAAACAAAAAAACAAAGCAGAACAAAACCAACAACUCUUAUUUUGCUGAGUUACUUUUACUCCCCUCUUCCAGUUUUGCUCUGUUCUAUUAUUCCCAGCCACUUACUGGAAGAAACAAUAAAAUCAUAUUUGAAUUUUUAUUUCGCUGCUCAUCUGGGCCCCCUUCCUUCUCCCUCCUUCCUUUCUCUUAUCUUCCUUUCCUUUUGAGUCUCAUUCUGUACACUUCCAUUAUUGAGCUAGUGAAGUUUAGAUGACUCUACAUUUUUUUUCUGGGAUCUCCUAAGUCGUUCUGUCUUCUUAGUAUCCAUCUCUUUAUUUUACCAGCAGAGAAAGCCUCCAGAUACCAGGUGCCAAAGCAGCUUGUUCUCCACGGCGCGUUUAGUCAGUCGUGUGUUCGCUGAAGGCCUACUGUGUGCUUUGCGUGCGCUUAGACUCCGAGGAGGGAUGAUACUAAAGAGUGAUACAGAAUUCUCGUAUUUAAUGGAACGAACAACACUACAAAGACUUGUG